AUUGAACGCUGGCGGCAGGCUUAACACAUGCAAGUCGAGCGGGCGAGGUUGCUUCGGUAACUGAGCUAGCGGCGGACGGGUGAGUAAAGCUUAGGAAUCUGCCUAUUAGUGGGGGACAACAUUCCGAAAGGGAUGCUAAUACCGCAUACGUCCUACGGGAGAAAGCAGGGGAUCACUUGUGACCUUGCGCUAAUAGAUGAGCCUAAGUCGGAUUAGCUAGUUGGUGGGGUAAAGGCCUACCAAGGCGACGAUCUGUAGCGGGUCUGAGAGGAUGAUCCGCCACACUGGGACUGAGACACGGCCCAGACUCCUACGGGAGGCAGCAGUGGGGAAUAUUGGACAAUGGGGGGAACCCUGAUCCAGCCAUGCCGCGUGUGUGAAGAAGGCCUUUUGGUUGUAAAGCACUUUAAGUGGGGAGGAGGCUUACCUGGUUAAUACCUGGGCUAAGUGGACGUUACCCACAGAAUAAGCACCGGCUAACUCUGUG
rnacentral:rRNA from 1 species